rnacentral:rRNA from 1 species
ACUCCUACGGGAGGCAGCAGUGGGGAAUAUUGGACAAUGGGGGAACCCUGAUCCAGCCAUGCCGCGUGUGUGAAGAAGGCCUUUUGGUUGUAAAGCACUUUAAGCGAGGAGGAGGCUCCUUUGAGUUAAUACCUAAAGAGUAGUGGACGUUACUCGCAGAAUAAGCACCGGCUAACUCUGUGCCAGCAGCCGCGGUAAUACAGAGGGUGCGAGCGUUAAUCGGAUUUACUGGGCGUAAAGCGUGCGUAGGCGGCUUUUUAAGUCGGAUGUGAAAUCCCUGAGCUUAACUUAGGAAUUGCAUUCGAUACUGGAAAG